GCUCUUCUCACUCAUCUCAGUGCCCUUGGAGACCUUGUGCUGCUUUCAGGGUUUGCUGGGAGGCAGCGGCUUGUCGUCCUCGCCCUUCAGGUGCUGCUUGUACAGGAGGACCAGCCUGCGGGGUGCGAGUCACAGCGCUGAGCCCCAGCCCCACUAAACCCCUUGGAGGGGGGAAACGGAGGCACUUGGUGCCUCUCCCCCCCACACCGCCACCCCUCGUAGUGCUGCUGGGUCCACACUUGCCCACACUGGUGCUGCUGGGGCUGCUGCCCAGCUCACCGUACAGGUUCUUCUACAGCCAUCUCCCUGUUACCUGCGGAGGCAGACGGUGUGAAGAUGGAUGAACCCUCCCCAAACCUGGAGCACAGAGCCAUGGGAUGGGGGACGCUGCCUGCUUACCAGCUCGUAGGCUCCAAGCUUCUCCAUGCUUUGUAAAUCUUGCACAGGUUAACUGGAAAGAAGGAAGGAGUCAGGGAGAUGCGGUGCACACCAGCUCUUUGUCCCAAAGGCUCCUCCAUCCCCAGAACAUCCUCCGUCCUAGAAGCCCCUGCCAGUCCGGUGCUCUUUAACAUCUUUGUCAGUGACAUCGGUGACGGAAUGGAGUGCACCCUCAGCAAUUUGCUGACGACACCAAGCUGAGUGGUGCGGUUGCCGCAGUAGAAGGAAGGGAUGCCGUUCAGAGGGACCUCGACAGGCUGGAAAGUUCCACCUCAUGAGCACCUUUCCUACAGCUGGGGAAAAGGCUGGCAAACAAACAGCACAAAGACCACACCUUGGUUCUUGAGAGUCACAGCACUGUGUUUAUUGCAGGGAGUGCAAGCCAACUGCCUGCUGGAGCAAUCUCUUACCUGAGAGCAGCCAGUCUGACUGUAAGCCAAAUAGUCGUUUUGUCCUCUUGGAGUUGUGUAGAAAACCUGUUGCUCCUUUGCAGUUUCACUGGAGGAAGAAAAUCCAUUGGGUGGGGAAGCUGUGCGUCAGUCUGCAAGACUUCUGCCCCAGCCGUGCAGGUGGAGCAAGGAAAGGCUCCCGCUUCUGCUGACCUCCUUUGCAGCAGCUUGCUCUCAUCCUCCUGCGUAACCCGGGAUUGGACUCGCUCAGUAUCCUGGGAGGGAGCUUGUCAAGAAGGACUCAGUGUGCUGGGCAGCCAAGUGCAGCCACGUGGCCUGGUAUUUUCAGGGCAG